GGGGCCAGCAAUGAGAUCAGUAAGGGAGAUCACACCGCCACAGCUUCACCCACGUCCCGGGAGAAUCUACCAGCCCCUUAUUUCAACCUGAAAGCUUUUGAAAUGUACUUCUGUGUGGAGUGAGGGAAGGCAAAGAGAAAGAUGCUUCUCACUUUUGAGCCUUUGGCCCUGUGGAAGUGGACUACAUUACCUAUCAUCAUGCUAAGGACUCAAAAAAGCAUGAGGACAGACAGAGUUCCUGCCUCUGACAAGCAAUGUACGUCAUCAAAGAGCAACAACCCUGGGACACAAUA